rnacentral:rRNA from 1 species
GAUGAACGCUGGCGGCGUGCCUAAUACAUGCAAGUAGAACGCUGAAGGAAGGAGCUUGCUCUUUCCGGAUGAGUUGCGAACGGGUGAGUAACGCGUAGGUAACCUGCCUGGUAGCGGGGGAUAACUAUUGGAAACGAUAGCUAAUACCGCAUAACAGUAGAUGUUGCAUGAUAUCUACUUAAAAGGUGCAAUUGCACCACUACCAGAUGGACCUGCGUUGUAUUAGCUAGUUGGUGAGGUAACGGCUCACCAAGGCGACGAUACAUAGCCGACCUGAGAGGGUGAUCGGCCACACUGGGACUGAGACACGGCCCAGACUCCUACGGGAGGCAGCAGUAGGGAAUCUUCGGCAAUGGACGGAAGUCUGACCGAGCAACGCCGCGUGAGUGAAGAAGGUUUUCGGAUCGUAAAGCUCUGUUGUAAGAGAAGAACGAGUGUGAGAGUGGAAAGUUCACACUGUGACAGUAGCUUACCAGAAAGGGACGGCUAACUACGUG